UGGGGAAUUUUGCACAAUGGGGGAAACCCUGAUGCAGCGACGCCGCGUGAUUUAGAAGGCCUUCGGGUUGUAAAAAUCUUUUCUAUGGGAAGAAAAUGACAGUACCAUAGGAAUAAGGACCGGCUAAUUACGUGCCAGCAGCCGCGGUAAUACGUAAGGUCCGAGCGUUGUCCGGAAUCAUUGGGCGUAAAGGGUACGUAGGCGGGUAAGCAAGUUAGAAGUGAAAUCCUAUAGCUCAACUAUAGUAAGCUUUUAAAACUGCUCAUCUUGAGGUAUGGAAGGGAAAGUGGAAUUCCUAGUGUCGCGGUGAAAUGCGCAGAUAUUAGGAGGAAUACCGGUGGCGAAGGCGACUUUCUGGCCAUAACCUGACGCUGAGGUACGAAAGCGUGGGUAGCAAACAGG
rnacentral:rRNA from 1 species